rnacentral:rRNA from 1 species
UUAGAGUUUGAUCCUGGCUCAGAUUGAACGCUGGCGGCAUGCCUUACACAUGCAAGUCGAACGGCAGCACGGAGCUUGCUCUGGUGGCGAGUGGCGAACGGGUGAGUAAUAUAUCGGAACGUACCCUAGAGUGGGGGAUAACGUAGCGAAAGUUACGCUAAUACCGCAUACGAUCUAAGGAUGAAAGUGGGGGAUCGCAAGACCUCAUGCUCGUGGAGCGGCCGAUAUCUGAUUAGCUAGUUGGUAGGGUAAAAGCCUACCAAGGCAUCGAUCAGUAGCUGGUCUGAGAGGACGGCCAGCCACACUGGAACUGAGACACGGUCCAGACUCCUACGGGAGGCAGCAGUGGGGAAUUUUGGACAAUGGGCGAAAGCCUGAUCCAGCAAUGCCGCGUGAGUGAAGAAGGCCUUCGGGUUGUAAAGCUCUUUUGUCAGGGAAGAAACGGUGAAAGCUAAUAUCUUUUGCUAAUGACGGUACCUGAAGAAUAAGCACCGGCUAACUACGUGCCAGCAGCCGCGGUAAUACGUAGGGUGCAAGCGUUAAUCGGAAUUACUGGGCGUAAAGCGUGCGCAGGCGGUUUUGUAAGUCUGAUGUGAAAUCCCCGGGCUCAACCUGGGAAUUGCAUUGGAGACUGCAAGGCUAGAAUCUGGCAGAGGGGGGUAGAAUUCCACGUGUAGCAGUGAAAUGCGUAGAUAUGUGGAGGAACACCGAUGGCGAAGGCAGCCCCCUGGGUCAAGAUUGACGCUCAUGCACGAAAGCGUGGGGAGCAAACAGGAUUAGAUACCCUGGUAGUCCACGCCCUAAACGAUGUCUACUAGUUGUCGGGUCUUAAUUGACUUGGUAACGCAGCUAACGCGUGAAGUAGACCGCCUGGGGAGUACGGUCGCAAGAUUAAAACUCAAAGGAAUUGACGGGGACCCGCACAAGCGGUGGAUGAUGUGGAUUAAUUCGAUGCAACGCGAAAAACCUUACCUACCCUUGACAUGGCUGGAAUCCUUGAGAGAUCAGGGAGUGCUCGAAAGAGAGCCAGUACACAGGUGCUGCAUGGCUGUCGUCAGCUCGUGUCGUGAGAUGUUGGGUUAAGUCCCGCAACGAGCGCAACCCUUGUCAUUAGUUGCUACGAAAGGGCACUCUAAUGAGACUGCCGGUGACAAACCGGAGGAAGGUGGGGAUGACGUCAAGUCCUCAUGGCCCUUAUGGGUAGGGCUUCACACGUCAUACAAUGGUACAUACAGAGCGCCGCCAACCCGCGAGGGGGAGCUAAUCGCAGAAAGUGUAUCGUAGUCCGGAUUGUAGUCUGCAACUCGACUGCAUGAAGUUGGAAUCGCUAGUAAUCGCGGAUCAGCAUGUCGCGGUGAAUACGUUCCCGGGUCUUGUACACACCGCCCGUCACACCAUGGGAGCGGGUUUUACCAGAAGUAGGUAGCUUAACCGCAAGGAGGGCGCUUACCACGGUAGGAUUCGUGACUGGGGUGAAGUCGUAACAAGGUAACC